ACUGUAUCACAGCUGACGCUGAAGCUCGAAGGCGCGGGUAUCGAACAGGAUUAGAUACCCUGGUAGUCCGCGCGGUAAACGAUGGAUGCUCGCUGUUGGGCUUUUUGUUCAGCGGCCAAGCGAAAGCGUUAAGCAUCCCACCUGGGGAGUACGCCGGCAACGGUGAAACUCAAAGGAAUUGACGGGGGCCCGCACAAGCGGAGGAACAUGUGGUUUAAUUCGAUGAUACGCGAGGAACCUUACCCGGGCUUGAACUGCAGGAGAACGCGGCAGAGAUGCCAAGGUCCUUCGGGACUCCUGUGGAGGUGCUGCAUGGUUGUCGUCAGCUCGUGCCGUGAGGUGUCGGCUUAAGUGCCAUAACGAGCGCAACCCCUGUCUUAAGUUGCCAUCGGGUAAUGCCGGGGACUCUUGAGAUACUGCCACCGCAAGGUGUGAGGAAGGUGGGGAUGACGUCAAAUCAGCACGGCCCUUACGUCCGGGGCGACACACGUUUGACAAUGGGGCGUACAGAGUGCCGGCCGUGCGCAAGUACGGUCCAAUCACUAAAACGCGUCUCAGUUCGGACUGGGGUCUGCAACCCGACCCCACGAAGCGGAUCGCU
rnacentral:rRNA from 1 species